GCGUCAUAGUGGUUCUCACGGUUGUCUUAGGAACCAGUCCCCGAGGCUUGGCAACGCGGGAGCCCUCCGUGGCAGCGCUUGGGUGUCAGGCCUCCGAGGCUCCGGCCUGACCUCUCCACGGAGUCCACAGGAACGUCUCCGGCUGCCAAGAGUCGCAAGGGGCCGAGCAGGAUGAUGAAACCACAGGCGGAGUCCGGGUUAAGCAGCGUGGCAUCCCAGCUUCAGGCCUGCCAGGACGGUGUUCGGGAUCAAGAGGACCACACUCCACCCAGGACAAAAGCCCCACGGUAGCACAUUUUCUGGCAGGAGAGGAGCAGACCCACGUCCAAGAAGAUGGUUUUACCUUUCCACGCCUCUUCUCUGCGAAAUGAAGCCACAGAACGACACAGUCUUGAAGAGGAAGCCGUGAAUGGGAGACUGCAACAAUCCAUAUCCCUGGAACGCUGGCCUCUCUGGACAAGCCACGCACUUUGCACCCCUCCUGUUAUGCCCGUGGCGGUGGCACGGCGCUGUAUCCUACCUGGGCUCUGGCCUCCACUCUGUCCUCCCUCUUGCUCUGUCUCCCCUGUUUCUGAGCGGCCUAGUUGCCUCUUGGCCUGGCUGUAUAUCUUCUACAAAGAUCACUUCCCAGUCCAUCAGGGAGUCUCUUCCUGGAGAUCCGUGUCAUGACUGUUUCUCUCUCCAAACCUGUUUCUGCUGGGUUGGUUAGGUCUGGUGACCCUGGAGCUCUUGUCUUCCAUACGUGUCUCAGCCAGGGAAGCUUCCUCGGUCUCCAUGUUUCACCUCAUUUGUGGGUGGAUUGUCUAGAAUUAAUUGUAGGCGACAGUGACUGGUCUUGUCUUCUAGGACAGGAGAGGUGCCGCAUUUCUUCUGCACUUCCUGUCUCAUCCUUUAGGGACAUGCUCUCCUCUGCUCCUGGGUGUACUGAGUCCCUGAAUCUUUUGGCCCCCUCCUGCAUCCCAGGUGUUCUUUGAUUUUCCUUCGCAUUGAUGGAAAGGUCACUUGUGCCCCGCUUCUGCCGGCCACAUGCCUGGACACCAUUUUUUGUUUUGCCAUCGCCCCAUACGCCCUCGGUGACACACGUUUACGCCAUCUGCUCUGCGGUACGCCGUGCCACGUAUGGUCUCAUUGGCUCCACCUCGGAAUUUCCCCUGUCCCUGUGUUCACGUGUCCUGGAAAGUGGUAUCAGCUUUCAAGUGCCCCAGGGCUUUUCUUUUUUCAAAGGAGAAGGGAGGCAUCGGUGAAUUUUCAGCUGACACCUCGCCUUGGGGCCCAUGGGAUCAUUCUGGGAUGCAGCGAGGCCCUGCCUGCCUAGCAGAUAUGGUGAGCCCAUCCUUUCUCACCCGGAGGGGUCCAAAGUCGGAUCUCAAGAGGAGUCCUGGGACCCCAGCAGGCGCCCAGAAGCUCCACCUCCACCCCGGAAGUCAGCUUAGGGAGGUCCUCAAGACCGGACUCCUGGGGGUUUGGCCUGUGGCCUCCUCUCCCACGCUGCCACGUACUGGACCCCUGAUCCAGCCGCCGCCAGGGCUGCAACGCGAGCCGCCCUUCCUCCGCGUAGCCGCUAUUGUUUAAAGGGGUCGCAGCCUGACUGCCAGGAGCGGAGUGCGACGCGGCCCCUCCAAUGCGCAUGCGCAAGGCCCUGGCGCAUGCUCCAGUCACAGUUAUUCCCACGGUUGUCUUAGAAACCCGUCCCUGAGGCUUGGCAAAGCAGGAGCCCUCCGUGGCAGUGCUUGGGUGUCGGGGCUCCGAGGCUCCGGCCUGACCUCUCCACGGGGUCAACAGGAACAUCUCUGGCUGCCAGGAGUCGCAAAGGGCCGACCAGGAUGACGAAACCACAGGCGAAGUCCGGGGGAAGCGGCAUGGCAUGCCAGCCUCAGGCCUGCCAGGACGGUGUUCGGGGGUGGAGCCAACCAAAGUCAAAGAAGAUUGUUGUAUCUUUUCACAGUUCUUCUCUGAGAACGAAGCCACACAACGAUAGAAUCUUGAAGAAGAAGCUAGGAAUGGGAGAUGGCAACAAUCCCUGUCACUGGAACACUGGCCUCUCUGGACAAGUCACCAGUUUGGCACCCCUCCCCUUAUGCCUGUACCGAUGGCAUGGUGCUAUAUCCUGCCUGGGCUCUGGCCUCUGCUCUGUCCUCCCUCUUGCUCUGUCUCCCCUGUUUCUGAGGGGCCUUGAUGUUUCUUGGUCUGUCUGAAUGUCUUCAACAAAGACCACUUCCCAGUCCUCCAGGGCGACACUUCCUGGA